AAGGGAAAAAGGAAAAGAAAUUGGCCUCCCUUCUUCUCUCUCCUCCCUCUCUUCUUCCUCUCCCGUGCGAUUCCUCCAUGGUUGGUGUGCGAAGACCAGAAAAAUUGCAGAGGAAGAAGCCGAAGCAGCCCCUCGCCGUCCGCCUCCUUCGCCGCUCGUCGCCCGUCACCGGAGCUCGCCGCUCGUUGCCGUCGCGCCGCUGCUCUUCCAACGUUCGCCGUCGUCCUCGCUCGUCUUCACGUUUAGGAGGCUGUCCGACCAGCCUAGGUCACGAAUCAGCCACCGUGAGCCGCCGUGCGCCCCCGCCUUAGCCCGUCGGAGCUUCGUUUUGCCUCCGCCGCCCUUGGCCGCCCGAACCGGCGCCGGACCUGCUCCCUCUCGGCCCCGAUCAGCAACCCAGAAAAUGGGUAUGGCAGCCCGGUUUUGACCCGUUUUGGCCGUCUUCCCGAGCUCGGAUGCUCGGCCCGCUUUGAGGAAAGUCGAUCCUCGCGUCGUCCCCGUCGUUUUGGUCCGCUCGGCUCGCUAAUCCGGUGCCUAGAUGGCGGUCGUGGAGGACCCGAAGCCCUAAGUCUGGAAAGGUGGAGAUUGAAGUAUCAGUGAACGUGUCCUGCUAGUUGGUUUUAGGAUGGUUCCCCUUUUGUCGAGCUGGUCUAUUUUGUAGACAGUCCAGAGUUGUAUUUAAACCUAUGUGUUUGGUAUUGUGAUUGAUUGCCUGCUUUUCUA